GGACUACCCGGGUUUCUAAUCCCGUUUGCUCCCCUAGCUUUCGAGCAUCAGUGUCAGGAAUUGUCCAGAGAUUCGCCUUCGCCACUGGUGUUCCACUUGAUAUCUACGCAUUUCACUGCUACACCAAGUAUUCCAAUCUCCCCUCCAAUCCUCAAGCAAACUAGUAUCUAAUGCCAUUUCUGAGUUAAGCUCAGAGCUUUCACAUCAGACUUAGAAUGCCACCUACGCUCCCUUUACGCCCAGUAAAUCCGAACAACGCUUGGGACCUCUGUAUUACCGCGGCUGCUGGCAC
rnacentral:rRNA from 1 species